rnacentral:tRNA from 1 species
GCCGGUGUAGCUCAGCUCGGUAGAGCAACUGAUUCGUAAUCAGUAGGUCGUAGGUUCAAAUCCUAUCACCGGCACCA